rnacentral:rRNA from 1 species
CUCAAGCGUUGUUCGGAUUCAUUGGGCGUAAAGGGUGCGUAGGCGGCGCGGUAAGUCGGGUGUGAAAUUUCGAGGCUUAACUUCGAAACUGCAUUCGAUACUGCCGUGCUUGAGGACUGGAGAGGAGACUGGAAUUUACGGUGUAGCGGUGAAAUGCGUAGAUAUCGUAAGGAAGACCAGUGGCGAAGGCGGGUCUCUGGACAGUUCCUGACGCUGAGGCACGAAGGCCAGGGGAGCAAACGGG